rnacentral:lncRNA from 1 species
AAAGUUUGAUUUUCUUCUGGUGAAUUGGACAUCCUUUUAAUUACGUUUGAGGUUUUGGGCUUUUAAAUGUAAUAAGGUCGCUUAUUUAUUUUUGAUGGUUUUUAUAUGUUUUAUUAAGAUAGGUAAUAUUUAUAUUUAACUGUUGAAAUUGGAUAGCUUUAGGGCGCGUUUUCAAAAACAGUAAUUGAUUUCAAAAUAACAUGAAAACAAGCAAAGCUUCCGCAAUGAAGAUAUUUUCCAAAAUUAAUCACUUUUCCUAAAA